rnacentral:tRNA from 1 species
GGAGAGGUGCCGGAGCGGUUGAACGGGGCGGUCUCGAAAACCGUUGUACCCAUUCGGGUACCCAGGGUUCGAAUCCCUGCCUCUCCGCCA